rnacentral:ncRNA from 2 species
GAGUUGUGUCCAAGAGAGAGUCGGUAACGACCGCUGAAGAGGCAAGCGCUUUGGAGUGGCAAGCAAGGCGUGAAACUUUCAAGCAAAAGGACUGGACUCAACUA